AACGCGAAGAACCUUACCUGGCCUUGACAUCCAUGGAAUCCCGAAGAGAUUUGGGAGUGCCGCAAGGAACCAUGAGACAGGUGCUGCAUGGCUGUCGUCAGCUCGUGUCGUGAGAUGUUGGGUUAAGUCCCGCAACGAGCGCAACCCUUGUCCUUAGUUGCCAUCAUUAAGUUGGGAACUCUGUUGAGACUGCCGUUGAUAAAACGGAGGAAGGUGGGGAUGAUGUCAAGUCGUCAUGGCCUUUAUGUUCAGGGCUACACACGUGCUACAAUGGCCGGUACAAAACGUCGCAAUCCCGCGAGGGGGAGCUAAUCGCGAAAACCGGUCUCAGUUCGGAUUGGAGUCUGCAACUCGACUCCAUGAAGUUGGAAUCGCUAGUAAUCGCAAAUCAGCAUGUUGCGGUGAAUACGUUCCCGGGUCUUGUACACACCG
rnacentral:rRNA from 1 species